GCCGACUGGUGUAGUGGUUAGUGACCCUGAUUGCUAAGCCGAAGGUGCCGGGUUCGAUUCCCGGCUGGGGCA
rnacentral:tRNA from 1 species